UGUGAACGAGAAAAUAAAAUUAAUGGAGUUUUUUUUUUUUAAGCAUAGAGGACAAAAAAAAGAUACUGAGUCAUAAUUUUGUGUGACCACAAUUUCAGAGUGAAUCGUUUGCCCACGAAUUUGGACAACAUGAAAAUACAUAUCUCGUGAGUGUCAUCUUUCUUCUCUAAUUGCUUGUACCGUAUGAUGAUUACCUUUACUCCAA
rnacentral:lncRNA from 1 species